CUAUUUGUCUCCCUCUUGCUGUUGCAUGCAGUUCCUCUCUCUCUUCCUCCAUUCCUCUAACCCCUCCCUCCUUCUAACCCCACCCCUCUGGCAGAUCCAGGAAGUCCCUCCCCUUCCCACAAACUCUCUUCUGAGGAAACGAAACUGAUCUGAGUCUCUGUCUCAUCUGUCUGUGUGACAGUGAACAACCGUCCAAAUGGCUCAACAGGGAGUUUUGCUGGACCAGGACCAGUUCUGUUGUUCUGUCUGUCUGGAUCUACUGAAGGAGCCGGUGGCUAUUCCCUGUGGACACAGUUACUGUAGGAGCUGUAUUGAGGGCUGCUGGGAUCAGGAUGUUCUGAAAGGGGUCUAUAGCUGUCCUCAGUGCAGAGAGACCUUCACUCCAAGGCCUAAUCUGAGGAAAAAUAACAUGUUGGCUGAGCUGGUGGAGAAACUGAGGAAGACAGGACUCCAGGCUGCUCCCCCUCCUGCUCUGUGCUAUGCUGGACCUGGAGAUGUGGUGUGUGAUUUCUGCACUGGGACCAGAAAGCAGAAAGCCCUCAUGUCCUGUCUGGUGUGUCUGGCCUCUUACUGUGAGACUCACCUCCAACCUCACUAUGAAUUUCCUGGUUUCAAGAAGCACAAGCUGGUCAAAGCCACGGCACAACUACAGGAGAAGAUCUGCUCUCAUCAUGACAAACUGCUGGAGGUUUACUGUCGUACCGAUCAGCAGUGUAUCUGUUAUCAGUGUGUGAUGGAUGAACAUAAAGGCCAUGAUACAGUGUCAGCUGCAGCAGAGAGGACUGAGAAACAGAGGCAGCUGGGGAUGAGUCAGCAGAAGGUCCAGCAGAGAUUCCAGGAGAGAGAGAAGGAGCUGAAGGAGCUCCAACAGGCUGUGGAGUCUUUCAAGGUGAGUAUUGUUGACCAGAGGAGACACACCAUUUCACUUCUCUCCUCCAGUCAGAGAGAGAGAGAGAGAGAGAGAGGGGCCCCUAUCCAAUCCCACUGACCCCACUGUUGGGAACAGGCUGUCUGGACCCCUUCAGAGAAUAGACUGGUUCAUGUAACCGACUGGGCUGCCUCAUCACAUAACCAUGAGGAACCAUGACGACUCAUGUCCCCUAUACAUUAAUAUGGAGCUCUUUCUCUCUCAAUUCAAUUCAAAGGUCUUUAUUGGCAUGGAAACAUAUCUUUACUAUGCCAAAGCAAGUGAAGUAGAUAAUAAACAAUCAUGAAUGAACAGUAAACAUUAAACAACAUUUAUUUUCAAAAGAAUAGGGACAUUUCAAAUGUUAUAAUUCAAGUGCAAACAGAGUCGUGCCCCAGACUGAGUUCUGGAGGUGAAAUGGAAAUGAAUGAGGGAGAGUUCAGUGAGGUAGAAGGUGUGGAGAAGAGUUCAGAACCAGAGAAGUAUUUGGUCAUAUGAGAUUUGACUUCAGAAGAGUUCCAGGGGGUGUUGAGUGGUGGUGUCCCGUCCUCCCAGGUCGUUGUCAUGGUGUCUGCAUUGUAGUGGAAUGGGGUAGUGGGUUUUUAAUGAGUGUAGGGUUAGUUGGAAGGGUGUUACUUAGUAUUAUCAUCAUUAUAUUAUUAUUAGUCACAUGCGCUGAAUACAACAGGUGUUUUUGCCUUUCAGUGAAAUAUCAAGACUUGCAAGUAAUUAAAGAGCAGCAGUAACAUUAGUGAGACUAAAAACAGACUAUAUACAGGCGGGAACCGGUACAGAGUCAAUGCACGGGGUCAUCGGUUAGUUGAGUUAAUAUCAAGACUUGUAUGUGUUGUGAUAUUGUUGUCAGGAUGUUGAAGAGAGGGAAAGAUUGAAGCGUCAUUGGGGUUGGACGGGGUUGGGGGAGUUUGGAAGGGAUUUGGGGGAUGGGGGAGGGUCUAUUAGAAGUUAGUAGGACUCUUUUAUUUUCUCAGAAGUACUGAGUUAGGUAGGAGGAUUUAGAGUGGUGUAAACCGUGAUUGAACACACUCCAGAACAGUAGGUGGCGCCAUGCACCUUUAACGUUGGUUUGAGGACCUCCAUUAUAUCAUAGAAGAAGAAGUUGGUCUGUGAGGGUUUUGUUGUUCCUGAGGAGGGCUACUAUUCUUUUCUCUUUUGGUUUUCAAGUAUUUUCAGAAUGUAUUAAAGCCAAAGCUAAAGCUUCCCUAAACAAUUCAAUAUAUCAGUCAAUAUAUUUUCUCUGUGAUUUAUUUUCUCUCCGUCAACCAUCGCAUCUUAACCGUCUUACCGGGCGGGCACUAGGACCCGGGGGAGGCUGCUGCUGCAGAGGCUGCUGCACCGCUCGUGACUGUCAGUCCUCCUUGUAGCUCAUUGGUUAAGCUGUGGCUCGAGCCUGUUAACAGUUAACGGACAGGAAACGGCUCUGACAGGACACAUUCAUGUCGAGGCAGUGAUGUGAAUGUGUGGCUACUGUUUGGCCUUAGCUCACGCCAAAUAAAUGAAAGAUACCCCACAAGCCAAUCGGGACCUUCUCUUGUGAAGCCCAGACGGAAGAGAGAGAACAAAGGCUGAACCUUAACUUCCAAUGCCCCGCCCCCUCCACGCCACUCCGCCAACCACCAGGAUGCCCGGCAUCAGAACAUCCCAGGCAUUCCUGUGAUUGGC